CCUGUUUCAUUUUCCAACGUGCCUCUCCUUGUCCAUUUUAUCGUGUUCCAUCGUGGUGUGCCUUUUUCUUGGGCUGAAGAGCACAUCUUAGUAUCUAUGUACUUGAAGGAUCCGAUUGAUUUUUCAUGGCUCCUUUACCACCAUCUCAUGUUGUUGAUAUCAAUGUUAACAGAGAAGAGGUAGUGCUACUCCAUCUAGUUAGUGCUUCAAAUGAUUACACUAUCAGUAGUGCUUAUAGUUUCCUUCAACAAUCAGCAAAUCAAAAUAUCCUUGCAGAUGACAACCAUGUAUUUUGACAUAAAGAUGUUCCUUUGAAAGUCAAUUUUUUUAUGUGGCGUCUUCUUUUCAACCGCCUUCCAACGAAUGCUAAUUUAUGAGAGGAGUGAUUCCGGCUACUUGAAGGGUGUGGUAAUUUAGAGGAUAAACAAUGCCCGUGUUGUCAAAAAGAUCGGACUAAAGCAAUGAGAGAAUAAUACCAAAUCAGCUCAACCAUGCAAAAUCAACUCAUUUUGGUCUUGAAAAACACAACAUGGCAUUACAAUUCAAGAAUAAAAAAUAAAAUAAAAAUAGUUUUUGCUUUCGUAGAGAACAACAAACUAUUAAAACU
rnacentral:lncRNA from 1 species